UUAGGGGUCAUUGUUAGAGAUCAUUCCCCAGGAUAGCUGUUAUCGUGUUUGCUUUCCUCCGAUACAGUGGAAAAUCACAUACUUCACUGUGUUUGCUGCAUUUUACAAAGAGCUCGUAAUUGUGUACUCCACUUUCAAUUGAAAGUUCCUUCGGAUAAGGCUGAAAGAAAGGAUGUAAAUAUGAUCCUGGAGAAAGGAGAUGAUAAUGUGCUUUAUACGUCGUUUCAUAAAUUGGAUGGGGGAGGCGUUUCCCAUGAUACUUUUUAAUACCUUUAAAAUCUCUCCUAGAAUCUCAGUUGGUCUUUGCAGUGCAGGGACUCUGGGAUAAACUAACACCAGAGAAUGUCACUUGGUACAGAAUGUGUUGCAUGUUGGCCAAGCAGCUGAGCUGUAAGAAAAUGCUGAAAAGUAAAACAUUCACUCUUCCUGCUCUUAUAAAGCUGACAGUUUGAUAAAACAUUUCGAGGUGUAAUGUUCAAAUCGGGGGUGAAUUAAAAAAUGUAAU